AUGGAGGGGCGUACCCUACUCCGCGACCAGGCGGCACCCAGCGCGUCCGCCCCCACUGGCCGCUCCGCCUCGCAGGCGACGGGGGACGAGGCCGCGGCUGAAGUCGGUGAGCGCGCGCCGCCGCCGCAGCCCCAAUUAUCAAAAAGGAGCUGUGUCUCAUGCAAUUCAAAGGAUUUACAGGCCAUGUCAGAAGAUUCUGCUAAAACGUUGCUAGAGCAGGUGACUGGCUGGGAGGUGAAAAAUGAGGGUGACAUUCUGAAGUUGCACAGGGCAUGGAAGGUGAAGAGCUUUGCGAAAGGGCUUGAGUUCUUUCAGCUUGUUGCUGCUGUUGCGGAGGAAGAAGGGUCUCCUUUCUUUUGCUCUGUUCUUCGGAUUCACGUUGUCUCGUUGUUCAGAAUUCAGUUUUUUAAAUGUCCCCUGUUCUCACCGCAUUGGAAUUUAACAAUAUCAUUGGCACAUACGGACCACAGCAAGUCGAUGCACUGCUUACUACUCCCUAUCUAUCAAAACACAAGACGCUUUUUGAUACAAAGGAAGUAUCAAAAAACGUCUUAUAUUUUGAUACGGAUGGAGUAUUAUCAAAGAGGAGUUAUUCACUUCCUGUCCUACAGUCCUAAAUCCCCACUGUAA
rnacentral:rRNA from 1 species